rnacentral:rRNA from 1 species
UACGAAGGGGGCUAGCGUUGCUCGGAAUCACUGGGCGUAAAGCGCACGUAGGCGGCUUUUUAAGUCAGGGGUGAAAUCCUGGAGCUUAACUCCAGAACUGCCUUUGAUACUGAAGAGCUAGAGUCCGGAAGAGGUGAGUGGAACUGCGAGUGUAGAGGUGAAAUUCGUAGAUAUUCGCAAGAACACCAGUGGCGAAGGCGGCUCACUGGUCCGGUACUGACGCUGAGGGUGCGAAAGCGUGGGGAGCAAACAGG